rnacentral:rRNA from 1 species
AACAAACGCUGGCGGCGUGCCUAAUACAUGCAAGUCGAACGGGGAAAGUAGCAAUACGAGUACUAGUGGCGCACGGGUGAGGAAUACAUGGGUAAUCUGCCCUCGAGCUCGGGAUAACCAGUCGAAAGACUGGCUAAUACCGGAUAUGACCACAAGAUCUGAGGAUCAAGGGGUAAAAGGUUUUUCGCUUGAGGAUGAGCCCAUGUGGGAUUAGCUAGUUGGUGUAGGUAACGGCUCACCAAGGCGACGAUCCCUAACUGGUCUUAGAGGAUGAUCAGUCACACUGGAACUGAGACACGGUCCAGACUCCUACGGGAGGCAGCAGUAGGGAAUAUUGCACAAUGGAGGAAACUCUGAUGCAGCGACGCCGCGUGAGUGAUGAAGGCCUUCGGGUCGUAAAGCUCUGUCGUAUGGGACUAACAAAUGAA